rnacentral:tRNA from 1 species
GCCGAAAUAGCUCAGUUGGGAGAGCGUUUGACUGCAGAUCGAAAGGUCCCUGGUUCAAUCCUGGGUUUCGGCA